AAUAAUUUCCUGAAAAGUCUGUGAAGGAAAAGCAGCUUUUUAUCCUGAAAGAUCAGAAUCAGCUCCAACAUCUGCAUCUGACAGCAUCAAGUCAACCAGAAAGAAAAGAAAAAAGAAAAUGACUUGUUUCUGAUCACAUCUGUUCUGCUGCUCACAGGCUGCUGCUGUUCACAUUCUUCACAUUUAUAGUCCACUUUUAAAAGUCCAGCAGACAGGUGCUCUGCUUUGGAGUGUGACGAUGUCAUCGGUGAUGUGGAGAGUGAAGUUUCUGUUUCACCCACAGCAUGCUUUAGGGCAGCCGGGUCGCACUUGAUGUUUGAAAUACUGACCGACAUCUCAGAUUUAACUGUCUGUAGUUCUGUUUUGAUGGAUGUUAAAUUUUCACUCAAAGCCGCCAGGAGCUGGGUCUUUAAAAUAACCGCCGUCUCGUUACAGAGUGAAAGUAGCAGUUCCUCCUUAAGGUCAGAGAUUGCAGCAACUGAGGGCCUCUUCAAAAGAAGACAUAGUUGAUGAAGGCGUUCUGGAGCAGGACCAGAAAGACCACGACCAAGCAGCCUUGAGAUCUUAGGCAGCGUCUCCCUCAGGUCCCUCUAUAUCUCCCCACACAUCCACCAACCACUGGAACACAUCUCCAAAGUUCUGCUGGACCAGCUCAGCUUCCUCUCAGAAGAAGUGCUGCCACCUGCCAGAUGAAGGAGCCUUUUGAGAGGCAGCUGGCAUCGUGAUUGGACUGUACUUUGGUCUGUUCCAAUCCAGCUUCAGCUCCAGAGACGGCAGGCGGGACGAGUCAACGGAGGCCGGGUGGACGAAGGCAUGCAGCUGAGUACAAUCCAGAAAACAACAGAGGAGGAGUGCAGCAGCCCAGGGCCAGAACAACCAGAGUAGCAUUACCAAAGAACUACAGACUCUUCACAACCUGCUCAAACUCUUGGUACAGGACCUCACCACACGGGUCAAGAAGGUUUCUGUCUCAUUUCUACUCUGAAGCUCACCUUCUCCUGUUCAAACUGCUGACAAAUGUUUCUGCUGCUCUAAAGUCUGGUCUCCAGAACUUCCUAAAAACUCUCAAAGUCUCUUCUGCUGCAGGUUGCUUUGUAGAACUGUUCCAGAAAACCUCACUAAACCACAUGGAAGGGCCUCAAGAUAGUCGUCCAAAUGAAACCAUACAAAAACCAAACUAGCACAACCCAAACACUAAAGUCUCCUGCAGCCUACCAGAGAACCUCUGAGAACAGAGAAUCAGGACAGGAACUCUUACCUUCUGGACAACCAACGUUGGUUCUCAAAAAAGAAUACAGAAUGUGUCUGACCAAAAACCUCUGAAGACUCACUACAGCCAAGAUAAAGACACAACUCACCUGCACCAAAUCCACUAAUCACUGCACACAGUAGCACCAUGUGCUAACUGUGGCUAAAGAACCACAUUUACCAAGACAACUAUCCGGUACAAAGCCCUAAAACACACCAAGAAACACAUUAAAGACGAUUUUACUGCUGGAAGCUGCAAGCCAACGCCUAAAGAACAACCUAAAGCAAUGGAGCCAA